rnacentral:tRNA from 1 species
GCCCCUUUAGUUUAGUGGUAAAACAAUGGUAUCGUAAACCAUGAACGCCAGUUCAAUUCUGGCAGGGGGCU